UGGCUGUGAUGACUUCUUAGGACACCUUUAGAUUAAAGAUGAAACUGACUGAAGAUCUGAGCCAA